rnacentral:rRNA from 1 species
UACGUAGGGGGCAAGCGUUGUCCGGAAUUAUUGGGCGUAAAGAGCUCGUAGGCGGUCUGUCGCGUCGGAUGUGAAAAUCCAGGGCUCAACCCUGGACCUGCAUUCGAUACGGGCAGACUAGAGUUCGGUAGGGGAGACUGGAAUUCCCGGUGUAGCGGUGAAAUGCGCAGAUAUCGGGAGGAACACCAAUGGCGAAGGCAGCUCGCUGGGACGUGACUGACGCUGAGACGCGAAAGCGUGGGGAGCAAACAGG